GUAGUUUUCCUCAUUUCCUUCUCAGAGGAUUUGUCACUGAUAUACAGAAAUGCCUUUGAUUUAUGGGUGUUGAUUUUAUAUCCUGCUAAUUGCUGAAUUUAUUUACUAGUUCUAGAAGUUUUCUGGUGGAGUUUUUUGAGUCUUCUAGGUAUAGAAACAUAUCGUCAGCAAAUAGAGCUAGUUUAAGUUCUUCUUUUCCUAUACAUAUCCUUUUAAUUUCUUUCGUCUAAUUGCUCUGGCCAGUGUUUCAAGAACUAUGUUGAAUAGAAGUGAGAAAGAGGGCAUCCCUGUCUUGUUCCAGAUUUUAGAGGGAAUACCUUCAAUUUUUCUCUGUGUAGAAUGAUAUUGGCCUGAGGCUCUUAGUGUAGCUAGCCUUUACCAAGUUGAGAUAUAUUCCUGUUAUCCCUAGUUUUUCUAGUGUUUUGAAUAUAAAGAGCUGUAUUUUGUCAAAUGCUUUUUAUGCAUCUAUUGAGAUGAUCAUAUGAUUCUUAUCUUUAAGUCUAUUGGUGUGAUUAAUUACAUUUAUUGAUUUCCAUAUGUUGAACCAACCUUGCAUCCCUGGGAUGAAUCCCACUUGAUCAUGGUGCACAAUCUUUUUGAUAUGUUUUUGUAAUUGAUUUGUGAGAAUUUUAUUGAGAAUUUUUUGCAUCUAUGUUAAUUAGAGAUAUUGGUCUGAAGUUUUCUUUCUUUGAAGUGUCUUUGUCUGGUUUUGGAAUUAGGGUGAUAUUGGCCUCAUAGAAUGAGUUUGCUAGUGCUCCCACUUUUUCUAUUUCCUGAAAUAAAUUGAAGAGUAUUGGUAUUAGUUCUUCUUUAAAGGUCUUGUAGAACUCGGCUGUGUAUCCAUCAGGUCCUGGGCUUUUCUUGAUUGGUUAUCUUUUGAUGGCUUCUUCUAUUUCCU
rnacentral:lncRNA from 1 species